rnacentral:scRNA from 1 species
UCGGCCGUCGAUUUGCCCGAACUGGCAUACCCCUCGAA